rnacentral:rRNA from 1 species
CGGUGAGGAACCUACCUCGGAGUGGGGAAUAACAAGACCGAAAGGGCCUGCUAAUACCGCAUGAUGCAGUUGGACCGCAUGGUCCUGACUGCCAAAGAUUUAUCGCUCUGAGAUGGCCUCGCGUCUGAUUAGCUUGUUGGCGGGGUAAUGGCCCACCAAGGCGACGAUCAGUAGCCGGACUGAGAGGUUGGCCGGCCACAUUGGGACUGAGACACGGCCCAG